UACAGAGACUGCAAGCGUUAUUCGGAUUCACUGGGCGUAAAGGGUGCGCAGGCGGCCGAGUGUGUGAGGCGUGAAAGCCCGGGGCUUAACCCCGGAAUUGCACCUCAAACUACACGGCUAGAGCAUUGGAGAGGGUAGCAGAAUUCACGGUGUAGCAGUGAAAUGCGUAGAUAUCGUGAGGAAUACCAGAGGCGAAGGCGGCUACCUGGACAAUUGCUGACGCUCAGGCACGAAAGCGUGGGGAGCAAACGGG
rnacentral:rRNA from 1 species